GACGAACGCUGGCGGCGUGCUUAACACAUGCAAGUCGAACGGAAAGGCCCUGCUUUUGUGGGGUGCUCGAGUGGCGAACGGGUGAGUAACACGUGAGUAACCUGCCCUUGACUUUGGGAUAACUUCAGGAAACUGGGGCUAAUACCGGAUAUGAGCUCCUGCUGCAUGGUGGGGGUUGGAAAGUUUCGGCGGUUGGGGAUGGACUCGCGGCUUAUCAGCUUGUUGGUGGGGUAGUGGCUUACCAAGGCUUUGACGGGUAGCCGGCCUGAGAGGGUGACCGGCCACAUUGGGACUGAGAUACGGCCCAGACUCCUACGGGAGGCAGCGGUGGGGAAUAUUGCACAAUGGGCGGAAGCCUGAUGCAGCAACGCCGCGUGCGGGAUGACGGCCUACGGGUUGUAAACCGCUUUCGCCUGUGACGAAGCGUGAGUGACGGUAAUGGGUAAAGAAGCACCGGCUAACUACGUG
rnacentral:rRNA from 1 species